GUAUAACAGAAGCCUGCAGAGCGGGGACAGGUGUGGAUGGGGAGGCGCAGUAGAAGCAGUAGAAGCAGCAGCAGCAGCAGCAGCAGCAGUCGGGCGCACCGACCGAAGCAUGCUCCAGUGCAGCCAUGACUUGCUCGGCGUCAGAUAGCGAGAAGAUCGUGAUCAACUGCGGCGGGAUCCGACACGAGACCUACCGGAGCACCCUGAAGACGCUGCCGGGGACGCGCUUGUCUUGGCUGACCGAGCCCGACGCCUACAGCAACUUCGACUACGACCCCAAGUCCGACGAGUUCUUCUUCGACCGCCACCCGGCCACCUUCGCCUUCAUCCUAAACUACUACCGCACCGGGAAGCUGCACUGCCCCAACGAUGUGUGCGGGCCGCUCUUCGAGGAGGAACUCGCCUUCUGGGGCAUUGAUGAGACGGACGUUGAGGCGUGUUGCUGGAUGAACUACCGGCAGCAUCGCGAUGCGGAGGAAGCCCUGGACAGCUUCGAGCAGCCCGAGCCGGACGCACCCGACGAUGAUCCUGCGCUCACCGGCGGGGCGGACGGUGACCUGAAGCGGCUGUGCAUGCAGGAGGACGGCCGCAGGGCGACGUGGUGGGAGGUGUGGCGGCCCAAUAUGUGGGCGCUGUUCGAGGACCCCUACUCCUCCAAAUAUGCCCGGUAUGUGGCAUUUGGCUCACUCUUCUUCAUCCUCCUCUCCAUCUCCACCUUCUGCCUGGAGACCCACGAAGCCUUCAACACCAUCUACAACAAAACGGAGAAUGUCACCAUCGGCAACGUGACACAUGAGGAGAUAGUGUAUGAGGUGGUCACAGAUGGCUGGCUGACAUAUGUGGAGGGCGUCUGUGUUAUCUGGUUCACCAUUGAGGUGAUGAUGCGCGUCAUCUUCUGCCCUGACAAGGCAGAGUUCUUCCACAGCGCCCUAAACAUCAUAGACUUUGUGGCCAUUGUGCCCUUUUACCUGGAGGUGGCCUUGAGUGGCCUCUCCUCAAAAACAGCCAAAGACGUGCUGAGCUUCCUGCGUGUGGUGCGUUUUGUCCGUAUCCUGCGUAUAUUCAAGCUGACCCGCCACUUUGUUGGUUUACGGGUCCUGGGCCACACUCUGCGGGCGAGCACCAACGAGUUCCUGCUGCUCAUCAUCUUCUUGGCGCUGGGCGUCCUCAUCUUUGCUACCAUGAUCUACUACGCUGAACGCAUUGGUGCCGACCCAGAUGAUCCAACGGCCGCGGCCCACACCGCCUUCAAGAACAUCCCCAUUGGCUUCUGGUGGGCUGUGGUGACCAUGACCACACUGGGCUAUGGAGAUAUGUACCCUGAGACAUGGUCGGGAAUGCUGGUGGGUGCCCUCUGCGCCUUGGCUGGUGUGCUGACCAUUGCCAUGCCUGUGCCCGUUAUUGUCAACAACUUCGGCAUGUAUUACUCCCUGGCCAUGGCCAAGCAGAAGCUCCCCAAGAAGAGGAACAAGCACAUCCCCCGAGCGCCACAGCCAGGCAGCCCUAACUACUGCAAGCCAGACGCCCUAGCCAUGGCAACCGCCUCUCCUCACAGGCUGAUGGGCAAUGUGCUCGGGCCGGGCAUGGUAGGAUCUGGCAGCAUGAUGGGUACUGGAGACUGCCCAUUGGCACAGGAGGAGAUCAUUGAGAUCAACAGGGCAGAUUCCAAGCAAAAUGGUGAGACAGCGGCCAACACAGCAGCUUUGGCCAAUGAGGACUGCCCCACCAUUGACCAGGUGCUUGGGGACGAGCGCAGCCCAGCCACCGGGGGCCUCGGCUCCACCACUAGUCGUGAGCGUUACCCACAUGACCGGGCCUGCUUCCUGCUGAGCGCGGGGGAAUUCCAGCGCACAACGGAUGGGAACGUUCGGAAAGUAGGAGGCACCGUGAACGGCUACUGGAGCGACAGCCCGUGGUAAAAGAGGAGCGGAUGACAAACGCCACAUGGGAAGAAGAGCGAGAACAUGACAUCAGACACAGCAUGCAAACAUAGAAAUAUGCAAUGUAGAUAAGUGAGAGAGCAGCGGUCGGAUCUGUGCUCGGAUAUAUUGUAUCUGUGGCAUAUGUGAUGAGUGUGAAACGGAUAUUUGUGUUAUGUGUGUGUGUGUCUGUGUGCCCAGACCUCCAUCUACCUCUGUACUAAGAUGCACAAAUGUCAACUCGAAAAAAUGCAUCCUUUUACUUUGCUUCUCCAAAAGGAAAUCAUUGUUUCAGUUUAGUUUUGAUAUUGAUUAUGAACAGUUAUCAUCAGUUAUCAUUCUGCCAAUUAGUUUUUAUUGAUCUGAUUUUGAAUGUGGCCCUUUUUGUUUCAAACUAGAGUUUUCUGAUGUUACUGAAAUGUAUAUGACUUCAGAACAAUGUCAGACUUUGUCAUUGUUGUGUAGACAGUAAUUUCAUGUCUGCUGGUUAAGUUUCAUGUCUGUUUAAAUCCCUUGUCGCUCUCACCUUCUUUCUCUCCCACGUAAAACUAACAGAGGGCCUUCAGCCGGCAGAGCAUCUUGGAUGUGAUUUGCAUGAGAAUAUCCUUGGAGAGGAACCACUUCAAGUUGCAGAGAAAGUUUGUCUCUUGGAUCCGACCCAAAAAAAAAAUAAGUUUUGAAAUUUAGCUUUGGACUCCUUUUCAGAGGAAUGUUUCUGUGCUCUGAUUAAUCUUCUUGCUGUUUCUUUUUUACUCUCAAAGCUGGGAAUGCCGGAAGGUGAGAGCAACAAAUGUGGAGAUAAUUGUAUAUUUGAAGAUUAAGUUUGGCAUUUUGAGAAGUACACUUAUUCAGUUUCUUGCCAAGAGUGGGUGGGAAAAAAAGUCAAUAUCAGUUUUAUGUCACGCUAAAUUUGGAGCUGUAGCCCGAAAGUGAUUAGCCUAGCUUAAAUGUGUGACUCGAAGCAGGGGGAAUAGCUAGCCUGGCUUUGUCCCAAAGCAAAACUACUAAACUGACACGGGGGAGUCACAGCACCUGUUGCUGCUCAACCACGAGUUGGUUUCACAGUUUUUAUUAGUGUACAGAUUAAUAAGGAGCAUUGUCAGCAGUGUUGGAAUUUAGAUGCUUCAUCUUGGGCUUACGUUAGGUGACCCCCUGAAAAUACUGCUUAGAGUUUAAUGCUAACCUAAUUUAAUAUAUCACCACCUGGCUAUAGCUCUUAAUUCUUCCAAUUCCUACUCUCACUGUCAGUGAGAGAGAGUUUUCCCAAUAAUGUCAGGCUAUACUGUGAACCGCAAGAGUCCCUGAUUUGGGGCCAUGCUGGGCUUCCUGCUUCCUGUUUAGCCUCGUGCUCGAGCAGGGCAUCACUUUCCAUUUUGCUUCAGAAGUGCAAAGUGCAAAUGAGUGAUUUUGAGGUUUAAAUAUACUGGAAGUUCCACAUCAGAUUCUUAGUAAAAAAAAAUCAUUUUAACCCCCCAUCAUAUUAGACAUGCACACCAGGCACACACAGACACAUACACUUGCACGCAUUCAUACAUAGCUGUAAAACACACACUCCCACCCCCCCAGCCUUUCGAUCAUUUCUCACCAUUUCACCCUCUCCGUAUCCCCCCUUUCCUUCCCAAUGUGCUCUUGUUGUGAGUCACUUUCCUUAAGGCCACUGCUGAUUGGUUGCUUUUGUGAUGAUGAUGUACAUAUGUAAAGUUUGCGUUGUAGAUGAAUAUGCAUGGGUUUCCAACGCAAGCAAUAAGGAUACUGAUAUGGCUAGUAAUGUGAGGAGGUUUGAUAGAACUUAAGUCUCAAGUUUAAUGAAUGUGUAUAUAACAUUUAGAUUACUAAGGGUGUGUGUGGAUGUAUGUGUUUUGAAGCAUACAUAUGCACUAACAAAGCAUGCAGGACAAAAAAAUCAUCUCUUUGGAUGCAAGAAGAGGUGGGAUGGGCCGACAUUAUGCAUGCCAAAAUGCUAUGAUGCUAUUGGUCGGAGCAGACCAAGUUAGGUACUGUAACAAGGCCGGGUGGGGUGGGAAAGUUUAUUUUUGCAGGAUGGGAAGGGGUUAUAUUUCUGAUAGGUCUUGUAUAGCUGCUUUCUUAUCGAUCUUGAGAGACUUAUAGAGAAACAUAUUAACAAUCGUAGCUUUUGAUUUCAUUUCUUUUCUUUUUUUGCUUCUCUAUUCACAGAGAACUGUUCUGAAAGCCCUGCGCUUGUCAGAUAUAUGCAAAAAGAAACAGUAACUGUGAACUAAUGCUAACAAAUGAAAAAAACAAACAAAUCCAGCUUCUUCCAUCACUGUCUCAACUCCUCUACUUCUCCUUCUCCUUCUGAUUCUUCUUCUUCUUCUUCCUUUUUUUCUUUGAGAAGAAAGACUCUUCUCCACCCAAGAGAUCCCCCUCCAUGACUUUCAUUCACCUGCGACUUCAUUCUCUGCCCAUGACACAUUUCCAUCGGUCCUGUCAAAUGAACUGCAAGGAGCUUAAAAGGAUACCUCUGCUGUACGAGAAUCCAACAAUUCAAUGCAACCUCCCCCAAGGGAUGAGAGUCAAGCCCAGUUUAACCUGACGCUAGUAGUACUCACAAGGGGAGCACAAAACCCUAUUACUUUGAAUAUCGGAAACCUUGGUUGUAUAACAUUUUCCCUGUAAACAACUUUUUGAAGAUACCCAACACUUUUUUGUCAUUAUAAUCCUGUUUGGAACGUCUCCCCAUGUUAAAGUGAGUCCCAGGAAGAGAGAGUCCUUACCGCUGGAUACUUUUCUGUACUAAGCAUGGAACCCCUCCAUGAAAACAGAAAAUAAGUCCCACAUUUGGGUUCUGGCUUCUCUAUCAGUCACGUAUUCUCAGACCUCACCCCCAUAAUGACACUCUGUGACUGUGGUGAUGCAGGUGAUUGCUAACCCUAACCCUCAUGAACUUAUUUCCUAGGGAGCAGCCAAUUCAGCUUUUAGAAACACCUUUAAAUUAAGAUUCACCUGACCCUGCCAUUUAGACUGCAACCACCUAUAGUGCAACACUUGGAAAACAUGUUACACCAGUACACUCCAUACAAAAAACAACGUGUUGUUCUAGUAAACAAUGACUCCCAAUGGUUUCCAUUUUUUAAAUGUCUUCCUAUAGUGAACAAGAUGAGGUAAAAAUGAAAAGUGAGCAUACCAAUGGACAUUUUAUAUUGAAAGACAAAUUCAUUUGAUUGCUUGUGAAAAAAGGCAAGAUAAAGCUUUCUGAAGGCCUAAUUGAUCAGUUUUUCUGGGCUAUGUCCACUAGUAUUGGAUGAUAUUAAAAUUAAGUGGAUGUACCAUUUUUCUGAGGUUGGUGAUCCAACCUUCAUGAGGAAAGAUCAUGGUCCAGCUAUGCUGGGAACACAGUAUGCAUCGAUAUGACCCCAGUUUAGGCCUGAUGACUUCUCUCUUUAAAAUGGUUGAGAAUGUACACUAUUCCACAGCAAGCUAAACCAGUUAGACGCUUCAAAAAUAUAGGAUGGAUGAAAUGGAUUGGCACACUGCAGAGGUACCCUACACAAGCUAAAUUCUGGGGAUUUUCUUUUAAAAUUUAAAUUACUGCUGGUUCUCACAUGUUGCCCCUUGUUGCCAAAGUUUGUCUCCCUUCCAUCCAUUCACAACUCAGGUAUCUCUUCCUCAAUCUCUCCAUCUGUGCCCCAGUGUUCAUGUUCAGCCACGUUUCCUCAGAGAUGUACUGUACAUAGAUCUUCCCUCUCUUCUCUGUGCCCACCAUGUGCUCUGUUUUGUGCCCACUCCCCUUCAACUAUACUAUUUUGCUUUCCUUGUCCAAAUGUGCUUCCUGUCUCCCCCUUGUGUCAUCCAGUCGUCUUUUCACCCUUUCUCAAUAUCUGCGUCCCUCUUUCUGUGAAACUGUAUCCCUCCAACACACAGAGAGGAAUUGAAACACCUUUGCCCCUGGUUAAAAAAAUAUGAAUACACUGGCAUAACUGGAUUUCACCAGGAAGAGAGAUAGGAAUGGACUUUAAAAGAUUGUUGUAAAUGGGGAGGAGGGAAAAAAGAAUGUGCUGUAAACGUGAUGUGUUCUGAGUGGACUGUCAGCCGAGCAGCGUCAGAGGGAGGAGAUGGAGGAGGAAAAGUUUGGGGAAGACAGAAAAGUUUGGUGAUGGUGAUGAUGAUGAUGAUGAGGAGGAAGAAAGAAAGAAGCAAAAAUCACUUCUCCAUUGCUGAGUUUCUAACCCUCCCUCCUCCCCUCCACAUGAGAAGAGGAAAACAAUGAGUUUUAUGCCACUGCUCCUCCAUCUCCCCUGAUGGAACUCACUGUUGAAAAUGGGAGAGAGACAGAGAGAAAGAGAAAAAAAAAACAAAGAACACGAGAGGUUGAAAUCAUCAUAGUCGCUGACUGAACGUUUUUUCAUCCGUGUGACACAUUCAUAUGCAACCUGGAGACAUUUUAACAUGGAAGUGACUGGUAAUCAUGACGAACCACGGUCUGGAUGCUCCCAGCUCGGCAGCAAGAGGAUUUGGAAACCAUGUGACAAGGACACCCUCCAUUUCCACAGUUGUGUUAUUCCUUUGACUGACUCCCCUUUAUUUCGAGAAGCUGCAUGCACAGCUAUUGAUUUCCAGCGAAUGCUCCUUAAUUUUGGCGCUCAAAGCACUAUGCAAGGUGAGGGGCGGUCCAUCAUGAUGUCGAACGGCUCCAGCAGAGCCUGAUCCAGUGUUGCCGCUCGGCUGCAGAGGUCGGGCUGCCCUGCUCAUCUCUGCUGAACCACAGGACCUCUACCAGCCGGUGGGAAUCUGCUCAUACAUAUCAGAAAACAUCAGCCAUAUCAUAUGUAUAUUUGACGUGAUCCUAUCUAUUUGACAGCAUCUGUAUCAUCUGAGAGACUGUUGGCAGCUUCGGACUUAAACACGAACACUGGGAUCUCCGUAGACCCUCGAGGAAUCACUUUUAGUCCACCUUGAGAUGGAAUUUAACCCAAAGACAGACACGUGGAUGGACAAACUAUUGGGGUGAACAGAAACCCUCAAAGACAUGAAACUGGCCAUAACAUCUGCUUGUAAGAAGCAGGUGUCACUGGAAAUGAAGAUGUGAUGUGAUGAGCCUCUUUCUCACUCUCUCUUUCCCUCUCAAGACUUUACGGUAUCUUGACCUCCUCCCCCUGCAUCGCUGCAUCGCUGCUGCUGCUGCCCUUCUUUAGCAAAUCUGCAUGGCAUGAAUGAAACCAAUUAAAACCAGAAGAAAGACAGUCAAAGACACAAUGGAUGGAUUAUAUAAGUGGAGCAGGGGUCCGUGAGAAAAAAGGGAGAGAGACUGUAGAUUUCUUUUUUUCCCCCCACCUAGCAAUGCCAAUGCAACGUCAUUCUCGUUAUCACCACCAUGAAAUACUAUUAAACCCCAAAACUGGAUGCUAAGAUGUGGGCAAAACAGCAUCUCCUGCAGCAAACCGCUCUCUCUGACGGCAUGAUGGAUGAGGAGGAGCUGCCUCCUCCUCUGAGAGAAACAGGGAGUGGGGGAGGAGAUUCUGCAGACCAUACACUCAAUACCUCUGGGAAUGGGGCGAGGAGAUACAGGCUUUUCAAAGAAAAGCAGAUAUUCAGCAGCAGCGGGAGAACAUCUUUGAGAAACUAUUCUAUGGACCAAAAAAAAAAAAAAUACGGUGACGAUUGCAAAUUAGAAAUGCAUUUUUAUGACAUUGUUUACCAGCAUGAAUAUUCUGCAUGACCCCUGCAAGCCAUUCCGACCCCC